rnacentral:rRNA from 1 species
UACGUAGGGUGCGAGCGUUUGUCCGGAAUCACUGGGCGUAAAGCGCACGUAGGCGGAUUGUUAAGUCAGGGGUGAAAUCCUGGAGCUCAACUCCAGAACUGCCUUCGAUACUGGCGAUCUUGAGUCCGGAAGAGGUGAGUGGAACUCCUAGUGUAGAGGUGGAAUUCGUAGAUAUUAGGAAGAACACCAGUGGCGAAGGCGGCUCACUGGUCCGGUACUGACGCUGAGGUGCGAAAGCGUGGGGAGCGAACAGG